rnacentral:rRNA from 1 species
GAUGAACGCUGGCGGCGUGCUUAACACAUGCAAGUCGAACGAUGAAGCCCAGCUUGCUGGGUGGAUUAGUUGCGAACGGGUGAGUAACACGUGAGUAACCUGCCCUUAACUCUGGGAUAAGCCUGGGAAACUGGGUCUAAUACCGGAUAGGAGCGUCCACCGCAUGGUGGGUGUUGGAAAGAUUUAUCGGUUUUGGAUGGACUCGCGGCCUAUCAGCUUGUUGGUGAGGUAAUGGCUCACCAAGGCGACGACGGGUAGCCGGCCUGAGAGGGUGACCGGCCACACUGGGACUGAGACACGGCCCAGACUCCUACGGGAGGCAGCAGUGGGGAAUAUUGCACAAUGGGCGCAAGCCUGAUGCAGCGACGCCGCGUGAGGGAUGACGGCCUUCGGGUUGUAAACCUCUUUCAGUAGGGAAGAAGCGAAAGUGACGGUACCUGCAGAAGAAGCACCGGCUAACUACGUG